GACGAACGCUGGCGGCGUGCCUAAUACAUGCAAGUCGAACGGAUUAGUUCCAAGCGGCUUGCCUUUUGGACCUAGACAGUCGUGGACGGGUCAGUAACACGUAGGCAACCUACCUGUCAAAUCGGGAUAAGCUCGGGAAACCGAAGCCAAACCCGGAUAAGCUCCUCUUUCGUAUGAAGGGGUAGUGAAAAGGUGCGACCUGAUGACAGAUGGCCCUGCUGCGCAUUAGAUAGUAGGUAGGGGAACGGCCUACCUAGGCGAUGAUGCGUAGCCGACCUGAGAGGGCGUACGGCCAGACUGGAACUGAGGUACGGCCCAGACUGGGACGGGAGGCAGCGGUAGCGAACCUACUGCGCUGGGGCAUCGCCCGCCCGAGCAGCGCCAGGGGAGUGAGGAAGGGCUUCGGAUAGCAAUGCUCUGUUGUAUGGGAAGAAGGGAAAGGGUACGUGCCUUAGGUGACGGUACCAAACGAGAAAGCCCCGGCUAACUACGUG
rnacentral:rRNA from 1 species